rnacentral:tRNA from 1 species
GGGGGUGGUCCUUGGUUCAGUGGAAGAGUCUCUGCUUUGCAUGCAGAAGGUCCCAGGUUCAAUCUCUGGCAUCUCCA